GAGAGAGAGAGGGUUCUGUGAUGAUAUAUAGGUCGGUUUGGUAAUUGUAAAAAGGAAAUGCUACUGAUAAGUGUUGUCUAUAAAAGAUAGCAGUGUGCAAGUAAUAAAAUGCUUCUGUUCUGCUUGCUUGGUGUUUGCAGCACUUGCAGUAGUAGCAUUAACUUCUCUCGUCACCGAACUACUUGUUUGGUUGCUCCAUAAUUAGCAUUGCUGCUUAAAUGGGAACUCUGUAAUAGUACAAAGCUGCUCGUUUAUUACCAGCAGCAAAGAGUACGAUGAAAGUUCCUGUCACACUCAAAAAUUGUCUUCUCUGUGUCCUCUGCUUGAGCUUACAGACAUAAUUCUCCCAAGAUUGUGGGGAAUUGCUAGCUACAGCUUCAAGUACAGAGCAGUCUUGGUUCCAAGCAAUGAAGCCUUGACACAAGAAGAUGGAGUUGGAGGACACAAAGUCUUCAUCGCACAGUGAGGGAUAUCCAAGAACUCCAACAUGAGUAUCCCCGUCGUACUACCUAACUUUGACUCGAAAGACGUUUGUCUCCCAACGUCCACUAUUUCUUAGUGGUAGGAAGACCUAGCAAGUGUCCAUGGGACUUCCAGUUAACGAAGCUGCAGAGAAGGGUCUUGUGCAUAUAUAGUUAAUAGCUUUAUACACAUAUAUAUAUGGUCAUGGCGAUCUCUAUAUACUUGUCAUUUGAUCUAGAUUAUGAAGUAGUCGAAGCAUAUCACAGAUGCAAGAAACUGCCAUCACACUCACCUGUAAAAGACGUCUAAUCCUUGCAUCGAAGAAACUGGCAUCAGGUCAGAAGUCGAAGGAUGAACCAAUGCAAUGUCUAUGGGCUGUGCUUGGAUUCGGCCUCUCGUGUAACCUUUUCAUGUGAGCCCAAGUACACCAUAUUGGCCGAAUAAAAAUGAUUCCUGUACGUCACCACCUUUAAUUGCUGGCUUGACAAAUGGUGGUCACUCACUGCCUCAAAAAGGUCAUGGUGGAAGUCAUCACUGCUACAUUGUGCGCCACGGCUGAGAAGACGGCGUCUUGUUUCAUCCCAUUGGAUUUCGCAUACGACGGUCACAGCAGUAAUCCUGUCGAUCACCAAUCACUCGAUAAAAAUCUACAGUAGCCAGAGACGACAUCUUGAUGACAAGUACCGAUCCUCACAGGCACGAUGGGGUGAGCUAUCACUGAACUGCUUAA